ensembl:snRNA U6 U6 spliceosomal RNA
UGCUCACUUCAUCAGCAAUGUACUAAAAUUGGAAUGAUACAGAGAUCAGCAUGCUGCCCCCAGAAGGAUGAAACACAAAUCUAUGAAGUGUUAAAAGAAAAA